rnacentral:lncRNA from 1 species
UGCAAGGUUCGACGGCCAAAAGUGCUUCUAGAGCCAAAAGUCACCCACCUUCAGCGGCAGGUUCGGCAGUCGAAACUCCCUUCCAGAGCUGAAAGUCCAAAUUUUUAGGGGCAGGGUUCGGCAGCCUGAACUGCCUCCCCAGGCAGGUUCGGCGACCGAACAUGGCUCCGGCAGCCGAACCUGAGUUCUUCCAGAAUAGGAGAACUCAAGCCUCUCAUGCACAUUUUGCCUCCCAAACCCUCCAAACUCAUGCACAACACUCCCAAGCAUGCAUAAACGCUUAUUUAAGC